rnacentral:misc_RNA from 1 species
UUAGUUUAUUUGCUUGUUUAGUCAGACGCCACGGAUAAUACAGAAUAGAAGUGGCCCCUUGGCGGGUCGGGAACCGGUGCUGGGCAAACCAGCACCGCAACCCCGAGGGCCGCCGAAGCAACAGUGGUAUAUACGCAAAGGGUGGGAGGGUCAGACCCCGAAGGACCCGCAUCUCGUUAAUGAUCCUUCCGCAGGUUCACCUACGGAAA